rnacentral:rRNA from 1 species
GAUACCCUAUUAUUUAAAAUGUAAAAUUUUUAACUAAAAUUAUUAUGAGUUAUGAUCUUUAAAAUUAAAAAUUUUGGCGGUAUUUUAGUCUUUUCAGAGGAACCUGUUUUUUAAUUGAUAGUCCACGAUUACUUGUACUUUAUCUUUAAAUUUAUAUAUCGUCGUAAAAUAAAUAUUUUAGAAGGAAUCAAAUGUUUGUGAUUUUUUAUUAAAAAAUAAUUCAGAUCAAGGUGUAGUUUAUGGUAAAGUUAAAAUGGGUUACAUUAUAUUUAUGUGUGGUUUUUUGUUUUAAAAUUGAGAAUAAAAUGGAUUUGAAAGUAAUUAUUAUAUUUAUAUAUUGUGAUUUAGCUCUAAAAUAUGCACACAUCGCC